rnacentral:rRNA from 1 species
GUGCCAGCCGCCGCGGUAAUACGGAGGGGGCUAGCGUUGUUCGGAAUUACUGGGCGUAAAGCGCACGUAGGCGGUGGUGCAUGUCAGAUGUGAAAGCCCUGGGCUUAACCUAGGAAUUGCAUUUGAAACUGCGCCGCUAGAGGCCGGAAGAGGGUAGUGGAAUUCCCAGUGUAGAGGUGAAAUUCGUAGAUAUUGGGAAGAACACCGGUGGCGAAGGCGGCUACCUGGUCCGGUUCUGACGCUGAGGUGCGAAAGCGUGGGGAGCAAACAGGAUUAGAAACCCUCGUAGUCC